UUAAAGGCUGCGAUAAGGACACGGGCUCGUAUAACCAUUGUUUAGAGAACUGACGGUUGGUGAAAGUCAGUCGUGGCAUAUGUUGCCUAUCCCCUUUAAGCCUGCCUCUGAAAUUACAGUAAGAGAGUACGGGUUCUCCCGUUACAGAGAGUAGCAUUGUCAGAUGCGGCAGAGUGGUCUGUUUAUACAGACAAUUAAGGUGGUACCACGGAAUUUCGUCUUUCGUCCUUUAU
rnacentral:ncRNA from 1 species